ensembl:lncRNA
CCAGGGCCAGUCUCAGCUGCUGCAGUGAAUCCCUUUGAGCUUCCAGAUGGAAGAGAGUUGGCACGUAGUGCCCCCCUCCGGGGAGGGCCAUGGUGUCCUGCUUGUAGGGGGACCAGGAUCCUUGGUGUGAAGGAGCUGUCCUUCAGGGACAGGACUGCAAACUCCUCUUCUGUCAAAGCGCUGAUGAUGCCACCUUCUAGGGACAGGCCAUCAGCCCUCAGAGAGGGCCUGGCGACACCUGGAACCGGAACUCCAGGGAAGAGGCCCCCACGAUGACGGUCAGCAGUGAGCCUUGGUCCUCCUGGGGGUGCUGAAGGAGCAGCAGAGGCAUUCUGGCCACUAGCUGCGGUCAGAGGCACUUUCCCAAAUGUCAUCUCAUGUGCUGCCCUCUGAGAACACAAGAGAAGCAGAUGUGCUCAAACCCAUUGUAAAGUAGAGGACACAGCCUCAGAGAGCUAGAAUUCAGACCCCCUAGCUCCAGAACCAGACGCCGAAGACCCCGUUUCACAGGAAAGGGACAAUGAGACGAUGUGAGAAUUGGACUACAAAGAAAGCUGAGCGCAGAAGAAUCGAAACUUUUGAACUGUGCUGUUGGAGAAGACUCUUGAGAGUCCCUUGGCCUGCAAGGAGAUCCAACCAGUCCAUUCUGAAGGAGAUCAGUCCUGGGUGUUCAUU